rnacentral:lncRNA from 1 species
AGCAGGAUCAUGCAGCAGGAGCGCGGAGAAGAUACCUCAGUGUGAGGUAAAAGGGAAUUCAGUCUUCCCGUGUUUAUAAGCUCCGCCCCUUCCCAGAAGUCUGUGCCCGCCUUCAUGGAAAAGUUGAAUCCAAAAGUGUCAGGAUUUGAGCUGGUUGGGCACAGAAGACUGUCCGGAGGGGGAACAAUUUUGGAAGGUCGUGUUCCAGCGAAC